AAGAUCCUGUGGAUCUGGAGCUUGGUGCGUAAAUAACGAGAGGUGCGUUCAGAAGAGCCAGAACUUUUAGAGACCGGCAAACCCGUUGGCAUUCCAUGAUGACCAUCUUUAUGAAAGAUAUCGAUUCUCAGCUGAGCGAAUGACAUAUUUUUGCCUGCUGCUUAAGCCGUAUGUUGGCAAUGUGAGUCAUCGAAGCCGUGCGCUCACAGUCCCACAGACUGUGUGCGUAGCGUUGCGUUACUUCGCUACUACGUCUGCCACGCAAUUCGGAAGGUGGUGCUUGCUCUAGCACAGCUCUUGAACACAUUUGUUCCCAGGGCACCUGCCCAUGCACGCAAUUAAAAAGCGAUUUUAUGACAUAGCAGUGAACAUAUAAAUAUUCACUUAAAUUGAAACUUCAACUAUGAAUAAUCUAGGCCCCAUGAUGUUUACUGUUGAAUAUGAAAUUCAUCCUACUCCUUAGGCGAUUACAUUAAUCACAGGUCAUUCCACAGCAUCAACGUCCAGAUGAGUUGUGACCAUCAAUACUUGGUGACCAGCAUUGAGGCAAAGUGGCCUGGGUCAGUCCAUGACUCCCGGAUCUUUAGGGAGUCUGCACUGUGCCACAGACUAGAGCAAGGGCUCUUCAGUGGAUUGCUGGUAGGGGACCGAGGGUACGCCUGCCAGCCCUUUUUGAUGACCCCCUAUCCUGACCCCAACACACGGCCACAGACUGCUUUUAAUGUGGCCCUGAACAGAACAAGGGGUCAAGAUAGAGAUGACCUUUGGCAUUAUAAAGGCAUGCUUUAACUGACUGCAUUUUGGACAUUUUGGCGGGGGGUCUGGGGGUUUCUCCCCCCGA